rnacentral:rRNA from 1 species
CAGUCGCCGCGGUAAUACGAAGGGGGCUAGCGUUGCUCGGAAUUACUGGGCGUAAAGGGAGCGUAGGCGGAUCGUUAAGUUGGGGGUGAAAGCCCGGGGCUCAACCUCGGAAUUGCCUUCAAUACUGGCGAUCUUGAGUAUGGAAGAGGUAUGUGGAACUCCGAGUGUAGAGGUGAAAUUCGUAGAUAUUCGGAAGAACACCAGUGGCGAAGGCGACAUACUGGUCCAUUACUGACGCUGAGGCUCGAAAGCGUGGGGAGCAAACAGGAUUAGAUACCCGAGUAGUCCCUGUCUCUUAUAC